AGAUACGGUUUCCCCUGUGGGGCGGGUUCACAGGUGGUGCAUGGUUGUCGUCAGCUCGUGUCGUGAGAUGUUGGGUUAAGUCAACGCAACGAGCGCAACCCUCGUUGCCAUGUUGCCAGCACGUCGUGGUGGGGACUCAUGGGAGACUGCCGGGGUUCAACUCGGAGGAAGGUGAGGAGGACGUCAAAUCAUCAUGCCCUGUAUGUGGUGGGCUUCACGCAUGAUACAAUGGCCGGUACAAUGGGUUGCGAUAUGUGUGAGGUGGAGAUAAUCCCAAAAAGCCGGUCUCAGUUAGGAUUGGGGUCUGCAACUCGACCCCAUGAAGUGAGGAGUCGAGUAGUAAUCGCAGAUCAGCAACGCUGCGGUGAAUGCGUUCCCGGGCCUUGUACACACCGCGCGUCAAGUCACGAAAGUUGGUAACACUGAGAAGCGCGGUGGCUCUAACCCUUG
rnacentral:rRNA from 1 species